AUUGAACGCUGGCGGAAUGCUUUACACAUGCAAGUCGAACGGCAGCACGGACUUCGGUCUGGUGGCGAGUGGCGAACGGGUGAGUAAUGUAUCGGAACGUGCCCAGUCGUGGGGGAUAACGUAGUGAAAAUUACGCUAAUACCGCAUACGAUCUAUGGAUGAAAGCGGGGGAUCGCAAGACCUCGCGCGAUUGGAGCGGCCGAUAUCAGAUUAGGUAGUUGGUGGGGUAAAGGCCCACCAAGCCAACGAUCUGUAGCUGGUCUGAGAGGACGAGCAGCAACACUGGAACUGAGAGACGGUCCAGAGUCCUACGGGAGGCAGCAGUGGGGAAUUUGGGACAAUGGGCGAAAGCCUGAUCCAGCCAUUCCGCGUGCAGGAUGAAGGCCCUCGGGUUGUAAACUGCUUUUGUACAGAACGAAAAGGUUUCUACUAAUACUAGGAGCUCAUGACGGUACUGUAAGAAUAAGCACCGGCUAACUACGUGCCAGCCGCCGCAGUAA
rnacentral:rRNA from 1 species